rnacentral:lncRNA from 1 species
CUAACCUCCCUUGGAACCAAUGAGAUUUUUCAAAAAAUCAAUUUAUUGACAUGAUUAUCUCUUCCAGGUCAGACCUUCUCGUCUCAGACAUUCAGUCUGAAGCCACAGGUGAAGAACCCAGCUCACUGGAAUAACUGCUUGAGUUGGGUGCUAACUUCUGCUGAGCAAACCUUACAGCAGGAUUUUGUUCCAGGUAAAGAUUUCCUUCCAUGAUAAAGAUAAGCCAAAGCAAAGAAGGAAGAAACUAAGCAGUUUUUGUACUGGAGCAAAGCUGCAUAUUCACUUUUGGUUUCAGUUCCAAAUUGCAAGAAUGUUCAACUGAAAAAUGCACCUAUUUUCCAUUUUGGAACUCUUCUCUGCUCCUGACUGCUCUUUUCCUGUGGUUUAACUUAACUAUAGCAGAGAGAGGCUGGAUGGGAGCAGUGACAGAUGACAUCACAUCUCUCUGAAUUAACAAGGCUACAAACAACUACACUAAGUUCAGCUGAAUGGAUCAACAAAUAAGUAGAACUACUCUUUUCCACAGCUUCCCAAUGUAAGUCACAAGAACUCCAGCCUUUGGAAAAUUCUCCUUUAAAGAAAGACUAAUUAAUUUCACAUUCUUGUUUUUUGUACAUGUUAAUACCUUUUAUAGGCACUUAAGCUGAGCAGUCAUAUAACUUUUUAUGUUUUAAUGUGUCAUAUGUCUUUAAUAAAUAACUUCUAGUGUUGUUUGUUCCA